UACGAAGGGGGCUAGCGUUGCUCGGAAUCACUGGGCGUAAAGGGUGCGUAGGCGGGUCUUAAGUCAGGGGUGAAAUCCUGGAGCUCAACUCCAGAACUGCCUUUGAUACUGAGGAUCUUGAGUUUCGGGAGAGGUGAGUGGAACUGCGAGUGUAGAGGUGAAAUUCGUAGAUAUUCGCAAGAACACCAGUGGCGAAGGCGGCUCACUGGCCCGAUACUGACGCUGAGGCACGAAAGCGUGGGGAGCAAACAGG
rnacentral:rRNA from 1 species